AUGACGACAACUAUCAAGACGACGACGACGACGACGGUUUCAAACUCUGUCUCUCUCCGGGCCCCAGCUCCGGCUAUCAACACUCGACUGCGCUCUUCCAGAGUCGUCCGCCCGGUACGUUCUCUCUCCACUCGGCGGCACUCGCGCCCCACACUCGGCCGGCGACGACUCCGCGACGUUCAUUUGGCUCGCGUGUGCCGUACAGGUCCUGGUGCGGCGGCGACAGUCCUCAUCGCAGUCUGAGCCCGCCGCCGAUUCCGACCACGACCGUCGUCUGCAGGACUUCAAGAUCGGCCAUCCGUGUCCCGUCAUUCAAACGCGAAUUUAAGAGAGGAAGCUCCGCGGGGAGGAGGCGUUUAAGUCUCGUUUUUGGCAGUACGACGUCGACCAUACCGCAAUAACCGACAUAAUAUUUUAUACAUACCGUGUAUACCGCCGUGCACGUAUACCCAAUAAAACAUAGGUAUCACGUAGACGAGGAUGCUGGAUGGACCCCGACUCAACGUGACCUCACAAAACACGACAUUCGCAUACACCUCGAGACGUGCGUGGAUCGUGAAAUCGUUUCGCAUACCGGUCCUUAUCAUUCUUCGCCUUGUGUGCAAUUUAAACAACUGGACGGAGAACUGAUAAGGGCUGGUAUGUCGAUACUACUUCGUACAAGACCUGCUCAGCGACGACGACGACGACGGCGACGACUACUACUAAAACCGUAUUUUGUGCAAUAUUAGCUAACUUUUGUUGUGGGGUGUCCUGCCUGAUAGAUGUGGAUCUUUGACUUUCCUUUUUAAUUUUCCAAUAUGCAACGCCACAUUGACAUUUGUAUCAACAAGAAAAUUAUAAACGACUAAAAUAAUCUUGAUUUUAAUUAUAAAUACAAAUUAUAAUUUGUAUACUAUUAUCGAGAUAUUAUACUCAAUAUUCAGAUUUUAUUAUAUAUAUUAUAUUAUCUACGCAUGUAUUUAAUACCAAUACAACAUUUUGAUUUUGUUACAUUACUAUUUUAUAGGGUUAAUUUGUUUUUAUAUGGUUAUAAACUUACAUUGAACCACUCUAUAAUCUCAGUAUUGUAUAAUGAUUUUUUUUUUAUGUAUAAAUACUAAUCAAUAGAAAAUGAAUUAAACUCAUAAAAUAGUUAUAUAUAUAUAAUAUUAGAUAUUAUACUGGAAAAAAAGAUGGCAAGUCUAUUUGAAGUGAACGUUUCUUUGAACUGUAGCCUAUCAACCGUUUGGCUUGACUUCAAGGUUAAUAAUAUUAUGAUGUAUGACUGUGAAAAAAAUGUUAUACGUUUUUUUUGUUUUACUAAGAAAUUACUUUUGCAAUAAUUGACAUUCUCCGCCAACGACCGCCGCCAGACAUCUAUCCAUCUAUUAUGACCAGGGUUAGGGACUUAUUGUAAUCACGUAUCCAUAUUGACUAUUGAAUGGAGUAAGACAUGGUAGAGUAAUAAUAUACAAAGACUUUUAUAAUAGGUAGUUUGAGAGAAUUCAAAUACGAAAACGCUUUUUCCGCUUUAAUAGGCUAUAAAUUAAAAACUACUUAGGUAUGCGGUGUUUUGUUUGUUAAUCGUGGGAAACGCUUAAAAAUGAAUUAAAAAUGUAUUUGAUUCAAAAAUAUUUGUGCUUAUAGGAAUUCGUCUUAGUGUAUAAAAUGACAUUUUUGGAGCAUAACAAUAUAUAUGCACAUAUUUUUAAGUUUUCUAAAGUCCCGAACUCUGACCAUGACGUACUGCAUAAUAUUGGACAUAUUAACAGGAUGACGAAUGCGCUUACAAAAUAUGCGUUUCGUGGUCUUGGUGAUGUUUAGUUUAUCGCGUGAAUUCUGCAUAAUUUCAAGAUUCAAAUAUAUCUUAUAGUAUUUAAUUUUUUUAGUUUCGAUUAUGUUCAAUUUUAUUCCGUAUUAAAAGUCUUAUCGUGUAGACGCAAACCCAUAUUGAAAAUGCAAUACAUUAAGACGUAUAAUACACGAUCUAUGAAGGCGUAUUAAUGGAGUUUUUAAAAUGAGUUUAUCAUAAACAAAUUUGUCAACAUUCUUAGAAAAAUCAAAAUAUAUUUUAAUUAUAAUCAAAAGUAUUUACCAUUUGGACCCAUUUCGUUGUUGUUGUUGGUCGUUCCAUAACAUUUAUCACGAAAUUAUUUAGAAAAUUAAAACCCAUUGACGUAAGUCGGUUAUUACUGCGUCUAGACAAAAUUAACAGCUAAAUGGCGUCUAAAUUAUUACUACAAUUCUUGUAAGAGGAUAAUGUUAUAGAGAAAAUCUGUUUUUAUAUAUUUAGGUAUUUUUUUUACCCACAAUUUCGUAAAAUUGGUAAACCUAAUAUUAUGUUCUCCCGUACAAAAUAUUGUUUGAAUUAUCAUUUUUUUUUAAACGAACGAGUAACUUCGAUCUUUUCCUCCGUAUCAUCCACCCUAGCUCUAUGUAGACGAAAAGCGAUCGCACUGUUUUCUCUGCUCCUCCGUCAAAAAUCCCGAUACGAUUUCGGUGGUUUAAAGUCCUCUUGAUUUUAUUCGACACAUAAUACUCUCGGUGUAUGACGGUAUAAUAUCAAACCUAUCGGUUUAGUCACACUGCUCGGCCAUGUGUGCACGAAAAUAAUAAUAUUUCAUAGCAUAACACAUGGAGACUGUCGCGGUGCCGGUACACUGCACGAUGUGCGCGUAUUAAACAUACUCACACACACACACACACACACACACACAUAAAUAUAUAUAUAUAUAUAUAGAGAGAGAGAGAGAGCAUGGAGACCGACCAUUUCGACAAACAAAACCGAAUACAUAUGUACAUACUCGUGUGUAUAUAAUACUAUCAUAUAUAUAUAUAGAGUGUGUAUGCGAGUGUACGCCGCUACCCGAUCGUUAACGAUGGUCUCGGAAUUCCAUUAAAAUAACGUGGACGCCACACGCCCCUGCAAGUGUAUAAUAUAAUAUAUAUACUAUGUCGGGUGUAUAUACAAUAAUAAUAAUCAUAAUAAUAUGUCCCUUAUUACCACGACAUUCCCAUGCUUAUAUACAUAUAUAUACGCGCCGAAACGUUGUUGUAACUAUGUGUAAUGUGUAUAUAUACCCGCAGAGGUUUUGCAGAUGAACCCAUGUCCCACCCAUAUACAUAUAAUAUCAUAUAGAAUAUAGAACACACACGUGCAUGUAUAUAUAAUAUAUUAUAGGCAUAUAGUUGUGGUAUAUAUAAUAUGUGGUACUCGAUAUUAAUUAUUAGGCGUGACGCGGGUUCCUCGGGGACACGAUAUUGGCAUUUGGCUCCAUUACGCGUUACGUAAUAUCUUAUAUCUGGAAAUGGGUACCAUUAAAAUUAUGUAUAGAUACAUCGCACAUAUUGCUAUAUUAUAAAUUCCUCGUGGAAUUGGACGAGGACUGGUCAGUGGUCGCAGUGUUAGGGUGAUAUAUCUCCAUGUGAGCCGUUGAAUUGUGAGCACGGACUGAGUUAGGCUCUUAGUCCGUGAUUGUAAGAUUGUGAGCCGGUCUGAAGCAUGGAAGUUGUAGGAUCCAGCGGGAAGGAAAAUGAAACAUAUAAUAUUAUUGUAUUCAUAUUAUAAAAUGUACAAAAAUUGUUCAGGUUUAACCGAUUUCACCAGAAGUUCUACACACCUACACCUCGGGGCCAUCACUAUAUAUGUACCGAUAAUAAAUAUAUCACUAGGCUUAUUAAUACAUUUAUGACAAUCGUAUAAUUUUCGUAUUCCUAAAAUAUAAUAUUAUGUUUAUUCACACUGUAAUAAUUCCAUCACCUGUCUGUUGAUAAAAGCGACAGCUUGUUAGUGGUUAAAAUAAAUAAGGAUUGAGGUUAUAGUCGUUAGAUAUCAUUACUUAUCAAUGGGGCAUUAUAAUGCACUAUAUGAUCCUUAAAAACGGAGUUGACAAACAUUAAAAAAGAGGGAAGUUACCUAAAUAUCAAUA